AUGUACCAGGCGAUCCCCUACAGCGCUGGCCGGUGCUGGCGUGCCUGCAACAGUCCUAGCAGGCCGAGGCCGAGGGCGUGGCCGGCCAGGAGGGCGAGCUCGCGGCUCGCCGACACGGCGGCGAGGGGCGACGGCGGGGAGGUAGUGAGGAGGGCGGUGGCAGAGAGCCUGGUGCUGGUGGUGGGGAGGCGCGGGUGCUACCUUAGCCACGUGGUGAAGCAGCUGUUGCAGGGGCUCGGGGUGAACCCCGCCAUGCACGAGGUCACCGAGGAGGCCGAGCUCGCUGCAGCGGUGGCCAGGAACGCUGGAGGCGAGGCCAUCGUUGCGCUGCUGGCGGUGUUCGUUGGUGGGAGGAACCUCGGCGGGCUCGAUCGGCUCAUGGUCGUGCACAUCUCCGGCGAGCUCGUGCCCAUACUCAAGGACGCCGGCACGCUCUGGCUCUGA
rnacentral:rRNA from 1 species